CAAGUGCUGCAAGUUAGGGUGUUGUGGGUGGGGGGGCAGGGUUGUUUGUUGUUCUUAUUGGAGAGGAGGUUGUUAAACCUGCCAGGGCUUCCCUCCCCUCUCCCACGGGAAAACUGAAACACACCUGUUAUUCUACCUGAAGACCAGUUUCAACCCCAUGUCCCCAAAGUUCCCUUUUCUGAGCAGGCUCUGGGGCCAAGAGCUGAACCAAGAAAGACCUCCUGAGAAGACUUCCUAAGGUACCAUGUCUGUGAAUGAAGACCACAUCUGUACUUUUCAUUGCCCUAUCACUAACACCUAGCAUAGCUCUGAGCACAUAAAGCACUCAGCAAGUCUUCGUUGAAUGGCUCAGUGAGUGAAAAACACUGGACACAGAUGAGGCAGCAGCAUCAACUGUGAUCGAUGAUCUUGAAGUUUGUGUCACAAUCACAACGACUUUGACAAAGAAACUCGAGAAGACACCAAGGAGCUUGUUAGAAGUGCUGAAUCUCACACCUGAUCCCAAACCUGUUGAAUCAGAAUCGGCAUCAGAACCUACUUCAAGACAGAAUAAAAAUCACCGGAACAUUUCCAGCCCAGCCAACUGGUUCACUGGUAUCAGACUCUUCAAGAUGCUCCCAACCAGAAGGGCCCAACUGCUGACCAGUCCUUGAAAAGAACAUCUUCAGGGAACACUUCCUUUUUAACUGGGUCUCAUUUUGAGGUCUCAGGUUCCAUAUUAGAAUGUAAACCAGCAGUCCUUGGAUCUUAACUCUAGGAAGCAAAUGGAGGGUGCUG